UGCAUAGCAAAAGACACAAUCAUGGGUCACUUUUGGCCUUUAAGAUCAUUUUGUUUAUAAAACCAUCAAAAUCCAUCACAAAAGAUAUUUUAUUGUUGUAAAAGCUUGAUAAUAAGUUAUUUUAUUGGGUCGUGAUCCAUUUUCAUGCAAAAGUAAUAAAAAUAGCCAAAAUAUGGACUGACCCACCAUUGUGCACCGCAAAACGUAACAUCACUACAAUUAUGGGUUACUUCACUUAUUGCACCGAGCAGAAUAAAUGUUUUUAGUAACAUUUUCAACAUUAAAUCAUUUCAAUCGUAUGAAAAGGGUUACAAUUGAGUUAUAAAAAACACCACUGCCAAUAAAAAUUGCUCAGUUUCGUGAUCGUAGUGUCGUCUUCGGCAAAGUUGUAGAUAAUAUUUUUUUUCCGAAGAAAAUACCCUGGAAAAAAAAUUUUUCUUUCAAAAAAUAGUUAGCAGAAAAACAGAAACUAAUUAGACUGCUCUAUUGGUGAUUCGAACAAUUUUUAAAGCUAAAACGUUGUCUUUGAUUGGCAUAGUGUCUUCUGCACAGUUGCAGAUAACAAUUUGGUCCUUCCAAAUAUAAUAAUUAAAAAAAAUCCAAAACAUUUUAAUUUGUUUUUUAUUUCUCCACGAUUGAACCAAUUUCAGAGUUUAGGUAUUUAAUUGUAUUUUUAUAAAAAAAAUCGGUAUUAAAAAAAUGAGUUUUUUAAAUAUUUUUUUUUUGUUUUUCUCUUCCUUUUUUUCAAACAAAAAAUAUUAUAGUUAUAUUUUCGGAAAGACAAUAUUUGCCAAAGACAUCAUACCUAUCAAAAAACCUUUUAAGCGGCUCUAAAAAUAUUUGUAAUUACCAAUACCUUUCCAAAAUAGCAUUUUUAAAUAGCUCCCCUAAAAUGAGACGUGCUUCAGGAAGUUAAACCAAUAGCACAAAAUUACAUCUUUUGCCCAUAGAAACAACUAUGCAAAUUUUCAGCCAAAUUAAAAAGGGUCGAAUCAAUUGGGGACCCGUUCUUGUGGAAUUGCUCUUUACAAAAAAAUACAGUCACCUAUCAGGGAAAGUUAAGUAGGCGUUCAUCAUUUUUACAAUAAUAAAUUAAUCUAUACUAAAAGGGGUUACUCUCAUGUUAAGGAGAAAAAAUCGAAAUAUAUUUUUUAUUUCUCUUUUUUAAAAGGAUACGGAAUUUCAAAAAAUUGCAAUUAAAAAUAUUUGAUGUUUUAGACUAGAUUAUUUUUCCUUUAAACAUCAGAAUGGUCUGAGCAGUAAAAAAAGCAAAGCCUUGGUGCUACAUUCCGAUUCGGAACUCGACCUUCUGUUUAUUAUACACAGACUUCGCAGCCAACUGUUUCGUGUACGGGAUAAUUGCGGGGCUAGCGUUACGAUCCUACUGACACUAACAGUCUCACCCGAGUCGAGACUCGAACCUACGACGACUGGUUGUUAGGCCAGCAUCGUACCUCGAGACCAUCUGGGAGGUGUCUGGAGCAGUAGAACCGAUUUAAUGUUAAUGAUGCAAAAUCCUUCGUUCAGGUAUAGCGUACAGGAUUUUUCGUGUUUCUGACAAGUAGUUCUUUCUGUAUCAUGCUCAUUGCGAGGAAUGUCGAAAAAAUUAUAUUUUGGUACAUGAACUCCAGUGAGUCCAGUUAUUAAUAUUUUCUUUUGAAAAAGAAAGGUAAGAUCUCAUUAUUUAAAAGAACUCAUUAACUUUUCAACUCUAAAGAAAGAAAAAAUACUUUUGAUCGCGAGCACACAAGUAUAUAUAAACUCUUAAGAACUUUAAAUUCAAAUCCUUGUUUAGGCGUUUCUAUUGAAAACAACAAAAAGUGCAUCAGUUCUAGAACAUAGCCGAGGCGCAAAGCAGAUGAAUAAAUGCAGGGUUUUUAAACCUGAUUCGAACCAGUUUCAGUUUUUUUCAUGAUACACUUUGAUUGAUCUCAGUGUUUCUAGAUUUCAAUGGAUUUACUUCUGAUGACAGAGAAAGAAUGAUCCUGGUUCGAAUCACGCUGAAGUUGGUUCACUGAUCAAAUCGAGCAAACAAUUUUUUACUCUUGUAAAAAUGCAAUAUUCUAUCAAUGACUCAACAAAAUACUGCAUAGCAUACUAAUUGAAUAAUAAGUUUAAUAAAAAUAAAUUCUUUAUCGAAAAUAUUUAGGCUAUUUGACUGAAAUAUAAAAAAUGCGUACCACGAGCAUCGGUAGUUCGAAGUGGGAAGCUGCAUAGCCGCAAGGCUACAAAGUCCGCUUUGUUAAGCGGAUGCUUUAUAUUAAUUACGAGCAGGAUCUGUAUGUGGCCGCAGCCAACAGGAAGCUGAGACCUAUAUCUGGUGUGCUUCAAGCUUCCCAAUGCCGAUCUUAAGUGAAACGAACCAGCACAAGGGCACCCGACAAAAAAAAUAACAUAAAAAAACUUAAAAGUUUAUAAUUGUACAUAGUUUAUGUUUUUCAUUGUGAAUACAUCAAUUUUACUUUAAAUAUCAUUGUUCAGAACAAUAAAAACACUGUGUUUGUCAUUUUCAUUCAUUGUUAUGCAUCUUAACAGCAAUUUUUUAGGCAUUUUUCAUAAAUUUAGAAGUCACUGACAAUGUCUUCCAUAGUAAAAUCAGCGUUGUUAAACUCGCUCGCAAAAAGCAUGCGAUACUCCAAGUGGCGUUCUCGCCGCUACCGAAAUCUCACACUAGAGAUACUCCUGUCGUACUGUUUCUCAUUCUCUUUUCCUUUUUUCAUUUCACACUACCGAGCGUUGAUGCUUGCGAGUUUUCUCAUAGGCCGACACGCACUCUCGCUCGCGUACUUUCCCACUCGCGUGUACCUCCCUUUCUCGCGAGCACAACCGUCAAGACGCAUUAUGACGAUACGGAGUGACAAGGUACGACAAAGCGGAGUGGCGAUUACAGAUUACGGAGAUUACAGAUUUUCUGGAAAUAGUACAGAACUAUACAGAUUUUUUUUUUGAUUUUCGUGGAUCGCGAAACAAACUUUUCGAUAUAGUUGAAAAUCGAAAAAGAACUCAAAUGCUAUUGAGCGUAUUGGAGGUUUCAUUAUAUUUAUAUGUUACGCAUAAACGUGUGCAUAAUUGUGUUUUUUAUUUUAAGGGAUAUGUCCAGUACAUAUGCAGAUAUUUAUACAGAUUGAAAUACCACCAAGGUGAUUUUCUGAGAUUCGAAAUACAGUUGAAAUUGUGGCAUCACUGCGAGUAGGUGGUCGAAUAUCAUACACGUUCAAGCAUGCGAUUCUAUAUAGAUUUAUCACCCCACUUUCGCUCGUCGGUGCACGAUGCAAAACUGCUUGGCAUCAGUUUAGCGAUGGACAAGCCGCAUGCGUGAGUCGGUGAACGAAGCAUUUUCGUUUUCGGGCACAUUUUUUCAAGCACUCCAAGUCAAGUACUCUUAUUCGAGUACUCGCGUAUUUGGCGUGAGUAAAAAAGCAAAAGAGAAUUCGCGAGCGGCUGUAUGCUGGCUGCUGCUCUGGCAAAUGCAUGGAUAAUAAAGAGUUUCUCGAAAGUGUGUGUGCGAACGACUGGAGAAGCGUAGCACACAUCUCAGUCUCGAGCAGAAAGGAGUGGAUAUGUUUUGCUUCUCGCUCGUUUAGCAACGCUGAGUAAAAUUAUUGUCGAUGGUAGACAAAAGACGUUGAGACUACUGCAGCUGCUGGGACUAUUGCGACUGUUGCUGGAACUGGUACCGACGAUGAAUUGUUGCCUCUAAGCAGCUCCGUGGAAACUCUUGGAACAACAUUACAGCAUGGUUCAACAAUCAACUGGAAAGUUCAGAAAGCUCCAAAGGGAUUGGUAGAUUUGCCGCUGCGGGAAUGCCAAGAUACGAACGAUUCAGCGAUUGCGACAUCGAUCGGGCAAACAAGCCAACACAAUUGAAAAGCUGCGUACAUACACAUGUCUUGUGGUUAACAGGAAAUGAUUCCAAUAAAUAAACAAAAAGAAUAAAUCUUAAUUUAAUUCAAUUUAAUCUGUUUACGGUAUUUUAGAUGUGAAAAUGAUCAAAAUAAACAAAAAGAGUAAAAACUCAA